UCCAGACUCCUACGGGAGGCAGCAGUGAGGAAUAUUGGUCAAUGGCCGCAGGGCUGAACCAGCCAAGUCGCGUGAGGGAUGACGGUCCUAUGGAUUGUAAACCUCUUUUGUCAGGGUGCAAAGGGCGCCACGUGUGGCGCUUUGCGAGUACCUGAAGAAAAAGCAUCGGCUAACUCCGUGCCAGCAGCCGCGGUAAUACGGAGGAUGCGAGCGUUAUCCGGAUUUAUUGGGUUUAAAGGGUGCGCAGGCGGAAUGUCAAGUCAGCGGUAAAAUUGCGGGGCUCAACCCCGUCGUGCCGUUGAAACUGGCGUCCUUGAGUGAGCGAGAAGUAUGCGGAAUGCGUGGUGUAGCGGUGAAAUGCAUAGAUAUCACGCAGAACUCCGAUUGCGAAGGCAGCAUACCGGCGCUCAACUGACGCUCAUGCACGAAAGCGUGGGUAUCGAACAGGAUUAGAUACCCGGGUA
rnacentral:rRNA from 1 species